rnacentral:lncRNA from 1 species
CUGGAGCGUCCCCUGCGCGCUGCAGCCGGACGGAGGCAGCCGCGGCGAACAGACGUUCUUUCUCCUCGGAGCAGUCACACAAAAGGAGGGCUGCGGAAACUAAAAGUUUAAGGGCCUCCGGCUUGGUGCGUGGAGAAAAGAGAAAACCUGGAGACGGGGUGGGUAAAAGACGCAUCCUGGGCGCCUUUCCCGAAGUCCAGGCAAGGAGAAAGCUCUUGGGCCUGGAAGAAGAGGGGAGGGGGACCCCGAGCCGCUGGCCAGCCCCCUGCGCCCACCCUCCGAGGCUGGAGAGCUGCGCUCCGCCGCACUCUUCUGAAUACCCUUCACCCAGUUCCAGAAAUAAAAUAAAUGUUUUUAAAGUGCGUGUGUGUGGACAGGAUGGAGAGCGUGCGCCGGCAGAGCGCGCGGAGGACCAGGCGCGCAGUAAGUGG